rnacentral:lncRNA from 1 species
GAGAAUGGCCGGGGCUCUUAGGUUGGAAUACUUGGUCUCUAGUUGGUAGUCGCAAAUAACAUUGCUAUCAAGGCAUCACUAGGAUUCAUUUGUUUCUUGCUUUCCUUAAAAAAUAUUUUAGAUUUAUGCCUGUGAGUGUUUUGCUUGCAUCUAUUAUGGGUACCCUGUGUGUGCAGUGCCAGAAGAGGGCGUCAGAGCCUCUGCACCUGGAGUUAAAGAUGGUUGUGAACUACCAUGUGGAUGCUGGAAGCUAGACCUAGGUAAGUCCUCUGCAAGAGCAGUCAUUUUUAGUCCCAUUUCUUCCUUUCCUUUAUUUAUCUAACAGAUGUCUGUUGACUGCCUGCCAUGUGUAAGGGUCUGCCAGGAGCUAGGCACAGGGCACUUAAAUGUAAAUGACCUAGAGAGAGCAUGUAUUUGUUUUCUUUGGGGUCAUACGAUGGCUCUUCAUGCCCCCAUCAUAGUGGUACCACUGUGAAAUAUUUGCCAAGCCUUCACGUAGUGCUAGGCACUGAGAUACUAAUCGUUAUUUGACUAUGAAUUUUUCAUGAUCCUACUUGUGCACGAAGGCACUGGUAUGUAAGCACCCAUUAAGAGAUCUGCCCCCAUACAGCUAGCUAACUCUCAUUGUUUACACAUCUAAUACAGCUUUAUAAGAUUUUAAGUUUCAAAAGGGCCUUGCCUCGGUGUGGCUCAACCUGCUUCCUCUGACAAAAUGGUUGAAUUUCUCAAAGUCAAUGCAGAGCCAAGCUUCUGUGGACCUUUGUUUGUUUGGACUUAGCACGACACACUCUGGUUUCUCAGCAGGUAAUGGAGAACCCUCCUGCAGAAGGCUAAGCUACUCACCAGGCAGAUCUGGACUCUCCAGGACAGUUUUAGCUCUUGCUCAUCUAGGACAUAAGUCCAGUCUCUUCUUUCUCCCCAGUGUUUUGGCAGCCUCUGUGUCUCUUGCCAAGUCAGUGUAUUCCCUUUACAGUCUCUUGUUUGCACUGUAGCUCUCCCGGCUGGUGUGUCUGCAGAUGUGAAGUCUCGAAUGGAGUCUCCGUCUUCCCUUCUCCACUUAGUGGUUUAUAUGUUUCUCAGUGUCAUUUCUGGAUACGCUUGAUGCUUUUCCCCCUCUUGAAUGUGCAGACGUUAAAUCAGCAGAUGUACCAGAAGUUGCUACACGGCUUUGUCAAGCUUUUUCUCUGUCACUUAUAGGCAGUUAAUAUUGGGAAAGUUGUAUUAGCUGUAUAUAUCUUAAGUUCCUAACUC